rnacentral:lncRNA from 1 species
GGAGAGAUAGAAAGACUCGGACCUCAAUCUCAGUCCUCCUCUCUCUCUCAAAAUCUCCAAGGACCGGUGCCGAAAGAUUCUGGUCGAUCUGCCGAAAGCCCAAGCAUAUAUUCAAAAGUCCGAUGCCGACACAAGGACCGUGGUGCUUCUGGUCGAUGACGGCGGCGAGAAGCGUAGCGAUGUGAGCUCGUCGGUGUCGUGAAUUGUUGAAUGAGUGAUUGUUCUGGUGAUUUCAAAGAGCAGCAAGAACCAACGGUUUCGUAAUGGCAAGCAAGUUCAUCACAUGGACAUUGAUAAGGAACUCCUUGCCGCCCCAAUCAAAUCUGCCAAGGACAAAUUCACACUCAUUCCCGAGUUUCUAAAGGUGAGAGGGUUGGUAAAGCAGCAUUAGGACUUGUUUAAUUACUUUGUGAACACUGGAAUCAAGAAAAUUGUGCGUGCCAAUGAUCGCAUAGUAUCCGGCGUCGAUCCAAGCAUUUGGCUCAGUAUCAUUUCAGCUAGAGAAUACUCAGUAUCAUUUCAUAUUGAACAUGAAAAGCUGUUGGGGGAUUGUAAGGAGACUUGGGAGCUCUCGGUUGAUGGGUAUGGAGAAGACGGGAAGCGGAUAUAUGAUCCGGUUAAGGGUGAAACUUGCCACCAAUGCAGACUCAUGGUGUGCGGUUUGGGCGAGCAAGUGUAAGAAGGCUAUUGGUUUUGCUGAGCUAGCUCCAGGAAACAAAACUGUCCACCUAGCAGCUCUAAUGGGAGGUGAAGGAUUAGAAAAAGGUCCUUAAUUUUUUAUCUAAUCUUCUGUAAUGUGAUAUAACCAUUCGCUAACUUAUGGGAGGUAAUGUGAUAUAUUGUGAUACCAUGUGGAAUAUUGUGAUAGAUAUGAUUCGCUAACUAAUCAAUUUUAUUAGUCAAAGGAUAAAAUGAUGUAAUGAGGUUUAGUAUAUCAUUAUUACACUUUUUGUAAUAUGAUUAUUGUGGUUGGUUAAGAUAAUUUUGAUGAA